rnacentral:rRNA from 1 species
CCUACGGGCGGCAGCAGUGGGGAAUAUUGGGCAAUGGGCGCAAGCCUGACCCAGCAACGCCGCGUGAAGGAAGAAGGCUUUCGGGUUGUAAACUUCUUUUGUCAGGGACGUAGCGAGUGACGGUACCUGACUAAUAAGCCACGGCUAACUACGUGCCAGCAGCCGCGGUAAUACGGAGGUGGCAAGCGUUAUCCGGAUUUAUUGGGUGUAAAGGGCGUGUAGGCGGGAAUGCAAGUCAGAUGUGAAAACUAUGGGCUCAACCCAUAGCCUGCAUUUGAAACUGUAUUUCUUGAGUGCUGGAGAGGCAAUCGGAAUUCCGGGUGUAGCGGUGAAAUGCGUAGAUAUACGGAGGAACACCAGUGGCGAAGGCGGAUUGCUAGACAGUAACUGACGCUGAGGCGCGAAAGCGUGGGGAGCAAACAGGAUUAGAUACCCUAGUAGUC